rnacentral:rRNA from 1 species
AUUGAACGCUGGCGGCAUGCCUUACACAUGCAAGUCGAACGGCAGCACGGGAGCAAUCCUGGUGGCGAGUGGCGAACGGGUGAGUAAUAUAUCGGAACGUGCCCAGUCGUGGGGAUAACGUAGCGAAAGCUACGCUAAUACCGCAUACGAUCUAUGGAUGAAAGCGGGGGAUCGCAAGACCUCGCGCGAUUGGAGCGGCCGAUAUCAGAUUAGGUAGUUGGUGAGGUAAAGGCUCACCAAGCCGACGAUCUGUAGCUGGUCUGAGAGGACGACCAGCCACACUGGGACUGAGACACGGCCCAGACUCCUACGGGAGGCAGCAGUGGGGAAUAUUGGACAAUGGGCGCAAGCCUGAUCCAGCCAUGCCGCGUGUGUGAAGAAGGCCUCGG